rnacentral:rRNA from 1 species
CCUACGGGAGGCAGCAGUAGGGAAUCUUCCGCAAUGGACGAAAGUCUGACGGAGCAACGCCGCGUGAACGAUGAAGGCCUUCGGGUCGUAAAGUUCUGUUGUUAGGGAAGAACAAGUGCUAGUUAAAUAAGCUGGCACCUUGACGGUACCUAACCAGAAAGCCACGGCUAACUACGUGCCAGCAGCCGCGGUAAUACGUAGGUGGCAAGCGUUGUCCGGAAUUAUUGGGCGUAAAGCGCGCGCAGGCGGUUUCUUAAGUCUGAUGUGAAAGCCCCCGGCUCAACCGGGGAGGGUCAUUGGAAACUGGGAAACUUGAGUGCAGAAGAGGAAAGUGGAAUUCCAAGUGUAGCGGUGAAAUGCGUAGAGAUUUGGAGGAACACCAGUGGCGAAGGCGACUUUCUGGUCUGUAACUGACGCUGAGGCGCGAAAGCGUGGGGAGCAAACAGGAUUAGAUACCCUGGUAGUCCACGCUGUAAACGAUGAGUGCUAAGUGUUAGAGGGUUUCCGCCCUUUAGUGCUGAAGUUAACGCAUUAAGCACUCCGCCUGGGGAGUACGGUCGCAAGCUGAAACUCAAAGGAUUGCGGCUGNGAGNGCGACGCGACGACGAGGGAGAGG